GACGAACGCUGGCGGCGUGCCUAAAACAUGCAAGUCGAACGGAGUAGCAAUACUCAGUGGCGAACGGCGGAGUAAGACAUAAGCAACGUGCCCCGAAGACUGGGAUAGUCGAGGGAAACCACGGGUAAUACCAGAUGUGGUCCCGUUCAGGGUCUGGAUGGGAUUAAACCGGGCAAUCGGCUUUGGGAGCGGCUUAUGACCUAUCAGCUAGUUGGCGGGGUAACGGCCCACCAAGGCGACGACGGGUAGGGGGUCUGAGAGGAUGAUCCCCCCGAGUGGGACUGAGACACGGCCCACACACCUACGGGUGGCAGCAGUUGGGAAUCUUGCACAAUGGGGGAAACCCUGAUGCAGCGACGCCGCGUGGAGGACGAAGGAUCUAGGUCUGUAAACUCCUUUUGCCAGGAAAGACUUAGGACGGUACCUGGCGAAUAAGCCCCGGCUAACUACGUGCCAGCAGCCGCGGUAAGACGUAGGGGGCGAGCGUUGUCCGGAUUUACUGGGCGUAAAGGGCGCGUAGGCGGCUGGUUAAGUGUGGUGUGAAAUCUCCAGGGCUCAACCCGGAAACUGCACCGCAUACUGGCCAGCUGGAGGAACGCAGAGGUGACUGGAAUUCCCGGUGUAGCGGUGAAAUGCGUUGAUAUCGGGAGGAACUCCCAUGGCGAAGGCAGGUCACUGGGCGUUAUCUGACGCUGAGGCGCGAAAGCGUGGGUAGCAAACAGGAUUAGAUACCCUGGUAGUCCACGCCCUAAACGAUGGAUGCUAGACGUGAGAGGUAUCGACCCCUCUUGUGUCGCAGCUAACGCACUAAGCAUCCCGCCUGGGGAGUACGGCCGCAAGGUUG
rnacentral:rRNA from 1 species